rnacentral:rRNA from 1 species
UUGCCCUAGUAACGGCGAGUGAAGCGGCAGCAGCCCAGAUUUGGAAUCUGGUCCUUUUGGGGCCCGAGUUGUAAUCUGCAGAGGAAGCGUCUGGUGCGGUGCCGGCCUAGUUCCCUGGAACGGGACGCCGUAGAGGGUGACAGCCCCGUACGGUCGGCCACCAAACCUGUGUGUCGCUCCUUCGAAGAGUCGCGUAGUUUGGGAAUGCUGCGCAAAGUGGGAGGUAUGCUCCUCCUAAGGCUAAAUACCGGCCAGAGACCGAUAGCGCACAAGUAGAGUGAUCGAAAGAUGAAAAGCACCUUGAAAAUGGGGUUAAAAAGUACGUGAAAUUGCCAAAGGGGAAGCGCUCGUGGCCAGACUCGUGCCUUAUGGAUCAUCCGGCUAUUCUGCCAGUGCACUCCAUUAGGCUCGGGCCAGCGUCGGUCGGCGCCGGUACUAAAAGGCAGCGCGAACGUGGCUCUCUUCGGGGAGUGUUAUAGCGCGCUGUGUAAUGUGCUGGCACCGUCCGAGGACCGCGCAUUUAUGCAAGGACGCUGGCGUAAUGGCCACUAGCGGCCCGUCUUGAAACACGGACCAAGGAGUCGCCCAGAGACGCGAGUGUGCGGGUGACAAACCCCUGCGCGAAGUGAAAGCGAACGCUGGUGGGAACCCUUAUGGGUGCACCACCGACCGAUCCUGAUGUCUUCGGAUGGAUUUGAGUAUGAGCGUUUCUGGUCGGACCCGAAAGAGGGUGAACUAUGCUUGGGUAGGGUGAAGCCAGAGGAAACUCUGGUGGAGGCCCCGUUUGGGUUCUGACGUGCAAAUCGAUCCAUAAACCUGGGCAUAGCGGCGAAAGACUAAUCGAACCUUCUAGUAGCUGGUUUCCGUC